GGAAGUUACAAACUUAUGAUGUUCACCCCAAUGUUAUAUUUCACUCCUAACGUUCUUGGCAGUACAACAACAGUACAAUGUAUGCACAAUCUAGCCAUAAAUGAUGUUUAGGAUGUGUGUAGUUGCUAUAUUCAGACAAUAAAAUCAGUAGACAAACUGAAGCUCUCUUUAGUAUACAUAGGGUACUUCGUUUCAAUAAAAAAAAAUAAUGGUGUGCAGUUCUACUUGAGGAAGAUUAAAAGCUAUCCCUGUUAUUCAGGAUAUGUGUAGUUGUCAUCCGAAUGAUCAAUAGAAAAACUUUUACUUUAUCAGAAUGCCUAAAGCAUAACCAUCGGCUCCCAACUCAUGACCAUUGGCUCUCAGCUCUAUCCUGAUUUAACUUCAAGCACAUAAUCAAUGAAUAUAGGGACAACCUUCUUCUUUUUGAGUUGGAUCUUAUUCGCCAUUGGGACUACAAUCGUACAAAUUCCCUGUAAUACCAUAUAAAUCUAAUUAAUUCUUCUUAAUUAUAUACCAUCAUCAUCAUCUAUUAACAAAAUAGAAACGAAAAAAAAAAAAAAAAAAUUGUAAUAAACAAAAGGUAAAAAAAGUUUUGAACACAUUAGCAUGUAGGAUACUCUUCCAAAUGCACAACCACUAUCUGCCCAUAGAUUUGGUUCUUAAUGAAGGACAACAAGUGAAUUUUGUUAUCAAUGGAAAACACCUCUUUGAGCAACUACAGAUUUCAGUAUAGUGUGUAGUUAGCAUCACGGUGUUCAUGUGUGUGGGUAUCAAUGUAUCAUCAACUAUGAACAAAACACAAAUGAAAAUGAAAAUGAUUCUGUAAUGUAAUUGAACUUACCCUUAUGAUAAUCUGGUAAAUCGAUGAUCCUAUGUAAUUUCGAAUUCAUCCCCGAAUUAGCUUUCUCUUUCUUUUUUAAUGGAAUAAACAAAAAAAUACUACUAGUUCUUUCAUCCAUCUUGUUCGGCGCAGCAGCAACUCCUAAAGUAAUUUAGGGCAAACAAGAGUGUUGAAUUUAUAACCGUAGAAGUUGGACCU
rnacentral:lncRNA from 1 species